UACGGAGGGGGCUAGCGUUGUUCGGAAUUACUGGGCGUAAAGCGCGCGUAGGCGGACCUGCAAGUCGGGGGUGAAAGCCCGAGGCUCAACCUCGGAACUGCCUUCGAUACUGCGGGUCUCGAGUCCGGGAGAGGUGAGUGGAAUUCCUAGUGUAGAGGUGAAAUUCGUAGAUAUUAGGAAGAACACCAGUGGCGAAGGCGGCUGCCACUGGCCGGUACUGACGCUGAGGCGCGAAAGCGUGGGGAGCAAACAGG
rnacentral:rRNA from 1 species